GUCCUACGGGCGGCAGCAGUGGGGAAUAUUGGACAAUGGGGGAAACCCUGAUCCAGCGAUGCCGCGUGAAUGAAGAAGGCCUUAGGGUUGUAAAGUUCUUUCACCUGUGACGAUGAUGACGGUAACAGGAGAAGAAGCCCCGGCUAACUCCGUGCCAGCAGCCGCGGUAAGACGGAGGGGGCUAGCGUUGUUCGGAAUGACUGGGCGUAAAGGGCGCGUAGGCGGCUUAUCAAGUCAGGUGUGAAAGCCUUGGGCUUAACCAAAGAAGUGCGCUUGAUACUGAUAAGCUAGAGGAUGAUAGAGGAAAGCGGAAUUCCUAGUGUAGAGGUGAAAUUCGUAGAUAUUAGGAAGAACACCAGAGGCGAAGGCGGCUUUCUGGAUCAUAUCUGACGCUGAGGCGCGAAAGCGUGGGGAGCAAACAGGAUUAGAUACCCGAGUAGUCUAU
rnacentral:rRNA from 1 species